rnacentral:rRNA from 1 species
UACGUAGGGUGCAAGCGUUAAUCGGAAUUACUGGGCGUAAAGCGUGCGCAGGCGGUUGUGCAAGACCGAUGUGAAAUCCCCGGGCUUAACCUGGGAAUGGCAUUGGUGACUGUACGGCUAGAGUGUGUCAGAGGGGGGUAGAAUUCCACGUGUAGCAGUGAAAUGCGUAGAGAUGUGGAGGAAUACCGAUGGCGAAGGCAGCCCCCUGGGAUGACACUGACGCUCAUGCACGAAAGCAUGGGGAGCAAACAGG